CCUACGGGAGGCAGCAGUGGGGAAUUUUCCGCAAUGGGCGAAAGCCUGACGGAGCAACGCCGCGUGGGUGAUGAAGUCUUUCGGGACGUAAAACCCUUUCAGCAGGGACGAAGCGAGUGACGGUACCUGCAGAAGAAGCAUCGGCUAACUACGUGCCAGCAGCCGCGGUAAUACGUAGGAUGCGAGCGUUGUCCGGAUUUAUUGGGCGUAAAGCGAACGUAGGCGGUUUCUUAAGUUUGGUCUUAAAGACCGGGGCUCAACCCCGGGAGUGGACUGAAUACUGGGAGACUAGAGGAUGUUAGAGGAAAGUGGAAUUCCAAGUGUAGCGGUGAAAUGCGUAGAUAUUUGGAGGAACACCAGUGGCGAAAGCGGCUUUCUGGGACAUUUCUGACGCUGAGGUUUCGAAAGCUCGGGGAGCAAACAGGAUUAGAUACCCUGGUAGUCCGAGCCGUAAACGAUGGACACUAGGUNUCGGGGGUAUCGACCCCCCCGGGUGCCGUAGCUAACGCGUUAAGUGUCCCGCCUGGGGGUAGGUACGGUACGCGACGACGUAGAACGUACAACGUAAGUAGUAGUACGCGAGAGACGCGACGACGACGACGACGGAGGAGGAG
rnacentral:rRNA from 1 species